AGUAUUUUCCUUAAGCUCAAGGAAGUGGGUGUUUUGCAGCCACCUGUUUGUACUUUGAAGCCACCCUCUGGUCCCCUAGAAUUGUCAUGCUUCCGUUCGACAAAGAAACUGCUCACAGCUGCAUCCAUCGCACAGUGUGCUGCAUCAGCUGUGCAUUUACAGCCUGAAGCUGCUGAACUUCUCAUUUCCCAGUUCCCAGUAAGGUUUUGCUCUGACAUUCAUAGGCAGUGAUGAUGCCUUUUAUUGGAGCGCACUCGCUAUUCUUCAUAUGUGUUGACAACUGCAAUAAUCAGCUCUUUGUGAGUGAGCGGGAUAAAAAUUAUGGAAAAAGCCCAGAUAAAUCAGCAGCAGUAUCUGUUCUAUUGCUUCCCUCCGUGCAUAUCUGUAAAGAAAACAGUCUGUUAGGAGUGGAUCACACUGCCUGUUCAGAAACCCAGCAGGGUUUGGGUGCUGCUCUUCCCAGGAAGCUCUGUAAUUGAAAUUGGCAAAAGUUACUGGGUUGUGGGGCUGUUGUGUUUUUUUUCCUGAUCUCAGAUAAUGAGUUUGCAUUGUGAAAGAUGAGAGGAAAUACAUUCCAUUGUCCUGCAUUUCUGCUGGAGGUGAGAACAAGUCCUCAGAAAAAUCUAAAAAGCUUGAAAUGAAACUAUCUAGGUACUGUAAAUCUCCAUAAUUAUUUCUGAGGCAAAAUCUUUCAAAGACUUGCUGUAGUUUUAUGCACCGGGUGUAGAAAUGGCAGAUUGUUGCAGUGAAGACCUCAGCCUUCUGUGUUGAUAUGGUUUCUUGUUUUUGAGCAGCCUUAGAGUAGUGUGUCUUCCAGGGAUCCUGUAGCCCUGUGGAAAUUUCAAAUAUUGCUGUAGGAUUUACCUUGUCAUUUGAGACCUGUCUUUGAUUUUUGUCCUGAUGUUCUGAGAUUCAAGUACUGCCUGAGCAGCAAGGAAAGAACUCUGAGCGGGAAGUUCCCACAUGUUCCCCAGAACUAAAAAGGAACAGAAGGAAAAUAUUUCCACAGUUCCUCUCCAAACCAUGUGUUUUCCUUUAGAAGAGGCAUUCCAGUUUGUUAGAGGCAAAUCCAUGCUCCAGUCCUGGUAAAGAAGUGGCUGGUGGUGGAGGUGCUGAUCACCACAGCUCCAGCAGAGAGGCAUUAAGCAACACUACUGGACUUCGAGCAAAAAUGCACUUGUCACUAUUGCUGACACAGAAUUAAAGACAUGCUCUAAUGUAACCAAACCAGUGAAAAGAAAGAGCUAGAAGUCUUAAGAGGUAAGAAUGAGUUUCGUUUGGAGUAGGACUGAGGGAAUCUGUUUCGCUUUCAAAUGGGAGUUCUUUGUCCUGCUCCAAAUCACAUGGCUGAGCCUCCAGCUGGGACAUGGUGGUUUAUCACGGGAGUGACAGCCUCCAGGGAAAAAGGAGUAGCUUUCAAGGAGUUUGGAAAGUGAUGAUGGUCUUUGAAAUGGAAUUUUUAGCACAUCCUGUCUACAAGAUAUUUAUGAAUUAAAAGUCUGCUGGACUGCUAGAAUCUAGUUAAAGCAGUCAAGGAAUUCUUGUAGGCUUUUGGUGUUGAAAAAUGCGUGCAAGAUUUAGGAGAAGGUCUUACUUAGUGUGGAGAAAAAAGCUGUGUAACAGUGCGCAUCUCACUGAACUCUUACCAUCUGCUGUUAAUGUCAGAGGAAUUCUUCUGUUAAGCCAAGUGUUUAAGUAGUUGGCCUUACUAAUCAGUUUCUGCGUACAGGUUCAGGUCUUCCUUCCUGAUUUCCUGAUGCAGACCUGCUCCUGUUGGUGCACUUCGGGAGCUUGUUGUGUUUUUUGGGUUGUGAUUGCUUAAAGAGCUGCAAUGGAGUUCAUGCCACAGGGCAAUACUGGAAUUGCUUUAGCUACACAAGGCUCCUCAGUCUGAUCAGAGCUGUGGCCUGUAUACCAGAUGUUGGAGAGACAAAUGAUGUUUGUUUUUUUUUUACUCGCAUAUUUUCAGCUGUAUGUAAGACCUCUGUUAUAAAUAUGACACAGCAGAUUUGGCAACACCUUCCUCUAAGCAGGGUGGGUAAGAAAACAAUCUAUUCCUGAAGCACUUGUUUCAGUUACCCUAAUUCAACUCAUUCUUUUAAGGUGAUCUGUGUUAUUUGCUGGCAUCCUGUAUUCAUCCCAGUGAGGGCUCCCCAUUUGCUUUGUGCACUUGGAGGUUCAUUAACCACUUCUUGUCUCCCUGCAGAGGGGACACUGCUGAAGGGCCAGAACUGGGCAACUCUCUCUUAGCCUCACCUCUGCUUAUUCCCCUAGUGCUGUGGUGCAUAAGUUUGAGCUCUGGGUUGAUCUGGGUUAAAAUGGGGAAAUUCCUCCUUUUGAAGAAAUUGCACUUGCAUGGCAACAGCAUCAGAAGUGAAGUAGCUGCUUUGAGACAAUUUUAUUUCUCCGUUGAGACUCCUGGCUGCAUUUCCCAGCAGACUUCAUUGUUCCCAUUACUUUUGUUCUGUUCUAAUGAGGCUCUACUCUCUCUCUCUCUUUAAUGCCUCUCACUUUUGGAAGAAUGCAAAUGACAGUAGUGGACCAGAGCAUGUCCUUUUCCCUGUCCUGCUGCCUAUUUCCCACAAAGUUUCCUUACUUCCAUGUGAGCUAUUAAAUCUAUUUUUGUUAGCAGAGCUCUUCCACGUCCAAGCUACUGGACUCUCCCAAGCUGUCUCCUUUGAGAGAAGCCAGCACUGCAGAUAGUAGCUACAAUGCUGCCGUUUAUUCCAGUAGAAGUGAAAGUCAACACUUGCUCUGUCUUAAAAAUGUAAUUGCUUCUCAUCCUGGGAAUCCAUAUGGAUGCUGUAUGAAUGAAAGCUGGUAGAACUGGGUGAGGGUAAAGCAGGCUAGCCUUGAGCUCCUCCUGCUCUAGCUGUCUUCAGCCUUUUAUUGUGUAGAUACAAACGAGAGAUGUGGUCUUGCAAACUCCUGUUCAUAGCAUCCAUGAUGUAGUUUCUGCAAAUAGAUUCCAUCUGUUCUGGUUUACUGGCUGUUAAAUCUGGAUUCAUUUCCUUGUGUGAGGCGGGGCAAGUGUCUUAAAGGCUUUAGACCCUGUGCUGUCCUUGAAAGAAAGGAGGAAAAAAAAAAAAAAAGAGUAGGCAAGAGGUUGCUUGCCAGAUUCCAGAUCAUCAUGAAUUGAGUGUGUAUCUGUAUCAUCGAUUCCCCCGGCUCAGCCUUGUGUUGUUUGGAGUCGAGCAGUGGACGACUUUUGCACAGGGUGUCCUAGGACGAACUUGCACAACACUGCCAGCAGAUGUAAUGAUCACAGGAAUUCUGCUGAAGAGCAGCUGCUAGACAUACAUCAGACUGUUAAUUUCAUUGGGAGGCCUUGCAUUUGUUUAAUCAGCAGCCUUUUUUUUUUUUCCCAUUUCACUU